GGAAAAUCUCAGCGAAGUUUUCAGAAAAACAUUAAGUGUGAAAAUGAAGAACAGCCCCCCUUCCAGGAAAAAAAAAAAAAAAAGGAAAAAAAAAAAGAAAAAAAAGAGUUAAACAAAGUCCCUUGAAGUGCGGAUGACUUUCUGGCUUGUCAGAAACACACCUCUCCAAGCCUUUUCCCUGUAGAUCAUCCAAAAGCGUCUAUUAAAAAGUGCAGGGCUUGGGGAUGUCAGCAGGCAGCCAAUCAGACCGCAUGGCCCAAGGUAAGGGAUGAGUCUCAGCUCAGGGCUGUCAAUCAUGUUCUCCUCCCCCUCCACCCCACAACUUUGUUCCUAGCCCUCGCUUCCACAGACAAACCAUCUUCGCAAGAGACCUUACUGAGGCAGUGAGAUUGUUGGUGGGUGUUUUCCUUUUUUUAAUUUUUAAUUUUUUAAUAUAUGUUUUUAAGUUCAUUUAGCAACUCAGGAUGCACAGACUCUGCUUCUGACUUGGCAUGCCAAGACUUUGCAAGAAUCUACCAGCAGAAAGAAAUGAAGAGCCUUGGGAAGGUGACGGGACCAUGGAGUCUCCUGGAUUUGCUCUCACUAUGUGUUUCAAUGUACCGAGCCACUGAUGAGUGUGAGACCGAGGAACUAAAACCUUUCCUGCUGUGGUGCAGCUGCCCUUGGUGGAAUUACCCCAUGGUCAAUGUGAUGUGAAGAGGCUAACUCAAACCACACAUGAAGAGAUGGAUGACCUGUGCUUGAUGCUGAUGGAGGGGAUUCAGAUGCCUAAUUCUGUGUGUUGGGGAAGGCAGAGAACAUAAGAGACCUGUGAUCCAUGGUGCAGCACUAAGCAAUGGCACCGGAGUGCUAGAUUUCCAUAUCAGCUCUGUUUCAGUGCUGGAGGGUGCCUUACCUGGAUGCUAGAUGUUGAAUUGCAUAUUUGGGCAGUUCGGGGCAUAGCCAGAAAUAGAAACGGAGAAGGAGUGUGCCUCAGUACCAUGGACCUUUGGGGGGUCUCAGGUCCCAGAAACCUCUGAAUUUGUUGUUUUGAAGACCCAUAUUUUGGUCUUAGUAUCUAAAAUGUAGGUAAAAUAGCAAAUUAGUUUUUUGAUGGCUCUAGUCCUCAGUCCUAAAGUAAAUCCUUAUUGGAAAGUAUGUAAAGAGCUGAAGAAAUCCUUCUCCAAACCAUGAAUGAACCAUCUGAGUCCCUUCCAUUUUAAACUGCUCAAAUCCUAUGUGUUUCUGAGGGUAGUGUUUACUGCUGAUAGGUAAUAUUGACUUUUUUUCUCAGUUUUCAUGGCCACAUUGCUUCUCUUCUAGAUCCUUAUGUUUCCUCAGGCUCUAACAAACUGUCUUCCUUUGCUGCUUCCAGUUCUUCAUAUUCACAUUUAAUGUUAGCUGGACACACCAAGGCAGAGUGUCCUUUCCUCAACAAGAGACAGCAUCCUGAGCAGAUUUGCCUAAAGAAGGACCUCCACAGAUAUUACAUCACUUCUGGUCUUUGGACAGGAACAUAUUUGCCUAAUUCCACAUAUCUUCUCAACAUAUUCCAU
rnacentral:lncRNA from 1 species